ensembl:snoRNA SNORA62 Small nucleolar RNA SNORA62/SNORA6 family
UCGGCACAUUACUAGAGCUUGGAGUUGAGGCCACAGGCUGGUCCAUAAACUCUCAAGUGUAGGGAGUGUGCUACACAAGAGGCAAAUAUUUUAUUAACACCAAAAGGGUCUCUGGCCCUAUCAAUUGAUUUUUAUGGUAAUUUUGUUAAAAUG